GAAGACGUGAUGGCAUCUGGCC
rnacentral:miRNA from 9 species